rnacentral:misc_RNA from 1 species
GAUGAAGAACGCAGUGAAAUGCGAUAAGUAAUGCGAAUUGCAGAAUUCAGUGAAUCAUCGAAUCUUUGAACGCACAUUGCGCCCGCCAGUAUUCUGGCGGGCAUGCCUGUCUGAGCGUCGUUUCGACCCUCGCGCCCGGCUUCUGUCGGGGGCGGUGUUGGGGAUCGGCCACACCCUUCAGUGGGAGGCCGGCCCCUAAAUUCAGUGGCGACCACGCUGUAGCCUCCCCUGCGUAGUACUAAAACCACCUCGCAGGCGGAGAGCGGUGCGGCCCGCCGUAAAACCCCCCAACUUUUACAAGGUCGACCUCAGAUCAGGUAGGAAUACCCGCUGAACUUAAGCAUAUCAAUAACGGAGGA